CACAUAUUACGAGAAAACGGCAUCAGGGAAAACGCGAACCGUUCGAAAGAGCCAGAAUGAAUCAGAAUGAAUGUGAAAGUGAAAGUGUAAUAGCACAAAAUAUUUAAAACGAACGUAAAACGUUUUAUUCUCCCAGACACCGUGAAGAACGAGAACGCGACUCGAGGAACUAUCAAGGCGAAGCAGUCUGUUCAGGAAACUUUUCGAUUUCUACAGUACAAUGGCUUUUCGUCUAGUUAGAAGAUUAAUGAAUUCUGUAUGUAAUGUUAUACACAGGAUGGCUUUCCUGUUCAACAUGGUUAAAGGAAACAAGUACUACGUAAUUCAAUCUGGGAACUUGUGCGGUGCACACCAUGGGAUUAUAAAGUCUCUCUGUAAAUUUUUACCAAGUUUGACAGAGGUGAAAAAAGUGGAUGAGUGCGAUGUGAUUCUGUUUUUCUGCCCUAUUGUUUCACGGGCAGGAACUGACAUUGAUGCUGGACUGCAUCGACUUAAUGCCUGUUCAGGAUCCAAACAAACCAUUUUUAUGGUGCUCCAUCACACAUUUGACCAAGAGAAAGUUUUACCAGACAGCAGCAGUUUUAUAACCAGAGACAACACGCUCACUGUGAACUUUCUGUUCCACGAAGACGUGGGGUUACUUGAAUGUAAUAUGAAUAAGGUGGCACAGGCCAAAAUUAUUCAGUAUUUAAACCGUCAGAUACAAUUUAAAAAGACAUUCAAAGCAAUCAUGCUGUUUGUUACUGCAGUACCUUUUUUGUACUAUUUCCUAUGGAGCCCUAAAAUAGAUGUCUAUGAAUUCAGAGGACUAUCAGAUCAGACUUCAAAAGGUGCAGAGAAUGCUUCAUGAAAAUCAAUACUAUAAAUGGAUCAAAUGGAGUGUUGUAGUCUGGUGGCUAUAAUAAUGUAUGUGCAUAUAUAUAUAUUGUUGUGUUGCUACAUUACCAGCAUGAACAUGGAUAUUAAAGAGACACUUACCUUUUUUGUUGAAAAUAUGCUCAUUUUCCAGCUAUUUUAAAAAAAGGGGAGUGUCCCUUUAAGACAUACUGAUUAUAGCAUGACAAUUCAACAGUCCCCAGGUUGUACUUCCAGGGGUAUCAAACUAUAACAUAUCCAUGUAUUUCUUUAUCCUUGUACUCAGGCAGGAACUUAUAUAAAUGAUUAAAUAAAUGUAAUGUUAAUUGUGA